CAGCAGGUGGAAAUAGUAUAAAAAUGGGGAUAAGAAAUAAAAAAAAUAAUAAUAGAUAUUGACAGUAGUACAGAUUUAAAGUGUGAUUGUCUCUAAAGGUUCAUGUGCUGAUGAACCCAAACACCAAAGGUGUGUAAGCACCUGUCUGUUCUUCUACCUUUCUUCCUCCUCCUCCUCCAUCGUCUUCUUCCGACCAGGGUUUCUGUUUUCUGUGGCCGUUGUGUAAUUUUGCACACUGAUUGGAAAAGUCUAAGUUUUACGCUUUGAGAUACCGCCACUGUAGCGCCACCAUCUGGUCCAUAAUGUUUGUUCACAAAAAAAAAAAAAAACGAUUUAAAGAAUUCUCUGGAAGCUGUGAGGAAGCUCAGAGUGCAGGGUCAGCCGUGAUCCAUCACCCCUGGGGCACUGAGGUUUAGGGGCCUUGCUAAGGGGCCCCAAUUGUGACAGCUUGGCGAUACCGGGGCUUGAACUCUGGACGUGAAACAGGACGUGAGGCUGCAUUUCAGCAACGAUUUUACCCCCUGACCCAAAACUCAAUAGGCUUCUUCAGGAUGUAUGAAACAAAUCUACUGUCGGCGCCACCUACUGGCCAAAAAGUAACACUUUUUAAACCUUCAUAAUGCUCCACAUUUAGUUUAACCAUCAUCACAUCAUUUUGACACCCUGCUGCCCAGAUUUACUCAUUUAGACCUUUUCUCCUACACACGAGAAUUUCACAACUGAUCAUAACAUUACAAACAUCUGAAUCCCUUUGUGUGUAGUUUCAGCUUUGAUUUCAUGCAAUAAUCAGGCAGCAGUUGUGUGGGAACGUUCACACACAAGUGCAAGUGUGAAAUAUGUAAUAAAUACAGUCAUUAAUUAGGUCUCGAUGAUGAGAAUGCUGGUGAGACCCUGGUGUGGUUUCUCAAGUAACAACACAUAGGCUAAUGCUAAAGGUUGGUAUUUUUCCAGCUGUGAAAUCUUGGCUAAUCUAAAACCUUACCUACAAGAACAAGAUGUAGCAUGAUCUCAGACCCAAUAUCUUACAGUACCAGUCCAGUGUACACACCUUCUCUUUUAGUGGCAUUCUGUUCAUUUCCAACAUCACACUUUAAUACUGAAUAAUCCAAACUAAGAAAGAACAUUCAUGGAUUUAUGUUGCAAACGUAUAUAUUUUUAAUUCUUCAAAGUAGCUACAUUUAGCUUUGAUGACAGCUUUGCAUUCUCUCAGCGAGCCUCAUGAGGUCGUCACCUGGAAUGGUUUUCUGCCAAUCACGAAGCGUUCCUAUUGGUGUUGAGUGAGUGUUGGCUGCUUUUCCUUCUCCAAUCCUAUUCAUCCCAAACCUUCUCAACUGGCUUUAGAUAGCAGCAAAGCACCUCCUCACCAUCACACCUCCACCUGUGCUUCACCGUGGGAACCACACAUUCAGGAACUUUCCAUUUACCCUCUGAAAAUAAAGAAAAAACACUGCAGGUGUCCAAAUUAUUGGCUGGUACUGAGGAUAAACAAAAAAGACUGAAAUUAUGAUUCCCACAAUUUCAUGCGUUGAAGCAAAUAGUUGGAUUUCUUUACUAUUUUCUUCUUUCAUCUUGAUGAAAUAUUUAGAAAAUUGCUCCUGCUUUAUUCAAACACCACCAAUACAUUUUUUUUUUACAAUAAAAUAAACCUAACGUGUUGAAACAGAUGAUGAACGGAUCUGGAUAGCAAACAACAUGAAAAGAAUCAUAAAUAAGAUGAGAAUACGAACAUAUGACCGGCGUUGUUUUGCAAACCGAUAAAUAAAAGAGGCUCCAAAAAACAUUGGAAUCAUUUUAUUGAAAUCUAUUUAUAAUUUGAGAUCAUCUCAGAAACGUCUCUAAAAGAACUCCGGAUAAUCCAAAAUGUAAAAAAAAAAAUGUCUAAGAUGGGUUUAUUUCAACAACAAAAAAAUCAUUUAUUAUUUUACUACAAAAAGGUACUAAUGUUACAGGAGCUCGGGUUAAAAGACACAAAAACAGACGGACAGGAGACAUUUUAACACAAAGAUGAUCAGAUGCAGAA